rnacentral:lncRNA from 1 species
GUAACGGUACUUCUUGCUCAGUGACAGCAGCAACCCACCUCCUUAUCCCUUUCAUUGGCUUAUAAACCCGUCCUUUAAACCACUAUUUGGGAGGUCGGGCCAUCAGUUUCGGCGUUUUUUCCAGAGAGGCAGGCUCACAGCGAUAUCGCGAGAGACGGGAAUUGCUCUGUCACGCAAGCUGGAGUGCAGUGGUGCCAUCUCGGCUCACUGUGACCUCUGCCUCCUGGGCUCAAGCCAUCCUCCCACCUCAGCCCUUCAAGUAGCUGGGAUUACAGGUCACCAUCCUCUCACUCGCCUCUGACUUUUCGCACAGGAGAGAGCUGGUCGAAUAGUACAAUUCCCCGAUGUGAAUGGGGAGAAGCUGGGGAAAGGAAGAAUGAUCUUCAGGCAGUAAGGGUAAGAGGAGCCACUUUUCCCAUCUGAGUAAAUACCGAGAGAAGAUGAAUGUGAGGCUCUUGGAGAUUAGCUGUCUGCUGGGAGAGAAACACCUUCAUUGAUUAAAUACAAAAUCUGUUCUGGAAAA